GUGCCCCUGUGCUGCCUGAUAGCCAUGCUUCCAUGGGGUACGCCUUUUGGUGUCCGUCCAUUUGCUUAUCUCCUGCUGCCAGAGUCUUUCAUCUCAACCCUCAAAAUGUUCAGAACUCUUCACACCUCUUAGGAAACCCUUAUUUUGUUCCCUUUGCAACUGCCAAGAAGGCACAGUUGAUUACUUCCACAAAGGAAGAUUCUAUAGAAACUGGGGGACUUGGCUCCUCAUGUCAGUUUUCUAAGCUCCGUUGCAGGCAGUGUGGUUCUCUUGAAUUAUGCCCCCUUUAGAGUUUGCAGGGGAACUAAAUUGAUUCCCUCAAUGUCAUCAUAAUUUCCUGGAAAGUGUGCAUCUGGAACCAGGCUGGUGUGUAUGUGCUGGCCUGUGUGCCUCUCUGUCCCCAGCAGUGAUGACAAAGACAUGUUUUCAAGAUGCUUUUCUGCCCAGCUGCUUCAUCAUCCUCAUCUUCCUGCAGCUGCUGCCCACUGUUGUACACGGAAAUGGAAAUGUCACUUUUGAUGUCAUUGGCCCUAAUGAACCUAUUCUGGCCAUAGUGGGGAAAGGCGCAGAUUUACCAUGCCACCUGUCCCCCAACAUCAGUGCCAAGGACAUGGAGUUGAGAUGGUACAGGGACAAAUUUUCCCCAGCCGUGUAUGUGUAUGAGAGAGGGAAAAAUGUGUCCGGAGAGCAGAUGGAAGAGUACCGAGGAAGAACAACGUUUCUGAUAGACCACAUCGCCAAUGGCACAGCGGCAGUGAGGAUACACAAUGUCACAGUGUUUGAUAAUGGGACAUACCAUUGCUAUUUCCAAGAGGGCACGCGUCAUGGGGAAGCCACACUAUGGCUGAAGGUGGUAGGUAAGGUGCUUACUUGCUUGGUCAUCUUGUUUCCAUGUGACCCAAAGUGUAAGUUUCUCUACCAAAGUUUCAU